rnacentral:rRNA from 1 species
GUAGGGCCCAAGCGUUGUCCGGAUUUAUUGGGCGUAAAGAGCUCGUAGGCGGUUCGGUAAGUCGGGUGUGAAAACUCAGGGCUCAACCCUGAGACGCCACUCGAUACUGCCAUGACUAGAGUCCGGUAGGGGAGCGUGGAAUUCCUGGUGUAGCGGUGAAAUGCGCAGAUAUCAGGAGGAACACCGAUAGCGAAGGCAGCGCUCUGGGCCGGUACUGACGCUGAGGAGCGAAAGCGUGGGGAGCAAACAGGGAUUAGAUACCCUGGUAGUCCACGCCGUAAACGUUGGGCACUAGGUGUGGGUUCCCAUCCAACGGAAUCCCGUGCCGUAGCUAACGCAUUAAGUGCCCCCGCCUGGGGAGUACGGCCGCAAGGCUA